rnacentral:rRNA from 1 species
UCCUACGGGGGGCAGCAGUAGGGAAUCUUCCACAAUGGACGAAAGUCUGAUGGAGCAACGCCGCGUGAGUGAAGAAGGGUUUCGGCUCGUAAAGCUCUGUUGGUAGUGAAGAAAGAUAGAGGUAGUAACUGGCCUUUAUUUGACGGUAAUUACUUAGAAAGUCACGGCUAACUACGUGCCAGCAGCCGCGGUAAUACGUAGGGGGCAAGCGUUUUCCGGAUUUAUUGGGCGUAAAGCGAGUGCAGGCGGUGUAAAAAGGAUGAAGUG